GCCCCGGUGGCUCAGUUGGCUAGAGCACCGGCCUUGUAAGCCGGCAGUCGCGGGUUCGAGUCCCGUCCGGGGCUCCA
rnacentral:tRNA from 1 species